UGCUGACGGUGCUGAGAAGUCAACACAGC
rnacentral:piRNA from 1 species